UACGUAGGGGGCGAGCGUUGUCCGGAGUUACUGGGCGUAAAGGGCGCGCAGGCGGUCUGGUAAGUUUGGAGUGACAGUGCUCGGCUUAACUGAGCAAGGCCUUCGAAAACUAUCAGACUUGAGCACUCAAGAGGGGCAUAGAAUUCCGGGUGGAGUGGUGAAAUGCGUAGAUAUCCGGAGGAAUACCAAAGGCGAAGGCAGUGUCCUGGGGAGUGUCUGACGCUCAGGCGCGAAAGCUAGGGGAGCGAACAGG
rnacentral:rRNA from 1 species